GAGCUGAGUAAAAAAUAUCAGUCCCUUUUAAGAAUCUUUAACUGAAUCUUGACUUAGUAGAAGAACCAAAUGAAGUCUAAUUACAGGCAGGAAACAAGUAUUAUCAUUGAAGUAUCCAAAACAUGCUUUCAGCACCAAGAGGUGUUUGUGAUUCCCAGGCUCAUUCUUAGACUGCGGCAACACUCUUCCCCCAUACGUCGUGCGUAAGCUAGGACUUUUCUGCCCAGUCGAAGGGGAAAUAGUCCAAGAGCAAUUCAGUUAUCUUUGGCUUGAGGCUUCUAUACGCCGUGAGUAUAGCAGCAGAUAUUCAUUGGAUGCAGCUAUGUGCAAAAAUAUUGUUCCAAGUGCUGAGGAUGCAGCCAUAAACAAAUGGAUACCAAUCCCUGCCUUCAUGGAACAUGUAUUUGUAUAUAUUUUCUUCUCUGAAGCUAAAUGUUCAAAUAUUUAUUUUAUAUUUCUUCACAAAAACACAGAUAAGCCUGUGAUGAAUAAGACGUCCAAUUAAAAAUUGAAUGAGAUACCAGAUAAAAGUUACAGUAUUACAGAGUGAAAACUGGCAUUCUCCCCUUCUGAUGUGCAUUGCCAGCUCCUCCAACAAGGGUAAACCUGACCAACUAGUCAUUAAAUCCCUGGUGGCCUGUGACUUUCCUUGGCCAAUAGAAUGUGGUCUCAAGAAGCAUUACUUGCUUCCACUCUCUUCCCUGGAACACUGCCAAGCCUCCAAAUGAACAUUUCCAACCUAGCCUGUCAGAAGAUGGAAGAUACUUGGCCUGGUUACUCACAUUGCCACAGCCAACAGCUAGUCAAACACCAGGCAUGUGUGCAAUGCCAGAUUAGAUAGUCAGCUCAGGCAACCUUACAACUGAUCUCAGACACAUAAGAAAGCCUGAGAUCAACCAAGCCUGGCCUAGAUGGGCAGACCCAUAGACUCAUCAGUGAUAUUAAUGAUUGUUUUAAGGCUUGGAAAAUUUGAGCCCAUAGAUUGUCCCCUUGCUUUUGUAAAUAAAGUUUUAUUAGAACACUGCCACACCCAUUUGUUUAUGUAUUGUCUGCAGCUGCUUUCAUGCUACAACAGUAGCAUCAACCAAUGGCAAUAGAGACCUUAAUGACCUACAAAGCCAAAAAUAUCAUCUGGCCAUUUAUAGAAAAGGUUUGCUGACCCCUAUUUUAAGCCACUACAUUUUGAGGUGGAUUGUUAACCAAGAACAUGUGAAUAUAUCCUUUUGGCAAAAUAUUUCCAGAAAUGUUUGCUUUCAUUAAAUACAGUAUCCUAUUGUAUUGUUAUUUCUAAUUUAUAAUAAUUUCUAGACCUUCUAAGUUUUACAACUACUUGUUAAACAAAUAUUUAAUUAUUGAGUAUCCAAUAUAAGCCAUCACUCCACUAGGUGCUAGCGAUAUAG
rnacentral:lncRNA from 1 species